UAAUUCCCAGCGAUUCGGCGGGGUGGCAUCACUCUGCCGGGAAAUGAAUUUCGCCUCGAGAGGGGCCCACGUGAUAUUAGAUAGUUGGCGGUGUAACGGACCACCAAGUCUUAGAUGUCUAGCGGGUGUGAGAGCACGACCCGCGCCACUGGCACUGUGACACUGGCCAGACACCUACGGGUGGCUGCAGUCGAGGAUCUUCGUCAAUGGGGGAAACCCUGAUGCAGCGACGCCGCGUGAACGAUGAAGCCCUUCGGGGUGUAAAGUUCUUUCGACAGGAACGAUAAUGACGGUACCUGAAGAAGAAGCUGCGGCUAACUACGUGCCAGCAGCCGCGGUAAUACGUAGGCAGCAAGCGUUGUUCGGAAUUACUGGGCGUAAAGAGUGCGUAGGUGGUUGGCUAAGUUUGGUGUGAAAUCUCCCGGCUCAACUGGGAGGGUGCGCCGAAAACUGGCUAGCUAGAGUGUGGGAGAGGGACGUGGAAUUCCUGGUGUAGCGGUGAAAUGCGUAGAUAUCAGGAGGAACACCUGCGGUGUAGACGGCGUCCUGGACCAUUACUGACACUGAGGCACGAAAGCGUGGGGAGCAAAUAGGAUUAGAUACCCUGGUAGUCCACGCCCUAAACGAUGCAAACUUGGUGUGCGCCCUUCAUUGGGUGCGUGCCGAAGCU
rnacentral:rRNA from 1 species